rnacentral:misc_RNA from 1 species
UCCUGUCGAGUGCACGUUAGACAACGAAAUUGCGGUUUAUUAUUUUCAUCGCGUGAAUGGAGACAGGUGAAAUCGAUUGCAUGUUACGUCAGCGUCGACCAGGAUAAAUACGUUUAUUCCGUGAGGCGAAGAAAACCAAGUACUCCAUGCAGGAUCAUACACUUUUAUCAUCCACUAAAUUGCCCCAUGUGUCUGAUAAAUUAUAUUCCCUCAUUAAUUUACCUCCUUACAAAAUUUAGAUUGCACUAUCUAUAUUCGUGUUAUUAUAUACACUUUCGUUCUUCGUUUGGAAUUCAAUGAUCUGCGUGUACGAACUAACAAAUUAGCAAUAUAAAUAGUAAAUUACAAUUUAGAUAGUAUAUUAUUUAUAAUUAGUAAUUAAUAGAAACACAUUAGUGACAUAUAGCAGAUUAGUAAUUUCCACUAUUACAUACAUCUUUUAUUCAUAAGAUUUCUAAUUCUUUAUAGUGGCAAUUAAUCCGUAAUUAAUGAAAACCUAAACAAUUAAAGCCUCUAAUUAACGUUUACCAUUUAUCAAUCAGAAUCUUUCCAAAAGCUGUUUACCUAUUAAUUAAUCAAUAUUUCAAGACAAUUCUUCCAUCUACGACUAAUGCAACUCUCCUUUCCAAUAUACAGGGUGUGAUCGAAUGACAGGAACGAACAAACGGCAGGUGAUUUCUUACGAGAAAAUACGAAGAAUUUUCCAUCAUACGACAGGGAAAAGCAAGUUUGCAGACUUGAAGAACGCCUUGAAAUUUACUCGAUGCGAGUAAAGACAUUUCAAACUUUCACGGUGCUCGGACACGUUGAUAUUGGGCCCAAAAUGAAGAUUCCGAGAAAACACACACAAUUUACAAUUACAAUACAAUUGCUCAUCCGGAAGAACCGACAUGGAGACACAUCGAACAGUUUGAGUGUGGCACACCCUGUGUAUACGUAUUACGUUCGCCUGUAAGUAUGGACCACCUAAAGCGAUCACUGUCAAGGACGACUGUUGAUCAAAAUACCAAGGCAUUAAUAUCUCUUUCGUGUAAAAUUUCAUGUUGAUACAUACGGCGGAUGAAUGGCGCUAAUAGAAUAGACCGUUGACACUAAUAGACGGCGGAGAUAAAUCGUUUUCUGUUAAGCGUACGGACUUUCUCUUCUUUUAGACUUCUUUACUUUUUUUUUCUUUUUUUUUUCUUUCUAGCGAGUUGGUGCUGUCGCGCGCAGAUCUUAUCGCACGCAGGCAGAAAAAACAUCAAACUGAAAUAAACAAAGUGAAUUUUUUUUCUUAGCGAGUCCGUGCUGUCGCGCACAGAUCUUAUCGCACACAGAUCGAAAAAAACAUCAACCUAAAAUAAACAAACCGAAUUGUAUUUCUUGUUAUGUUGCUCGCACGCUAGUUCGUUUCUUCUCGCUCGAUAAAUUUAUCGCUCUUAUUUAUCGAUCGCAGCUUGCCAGAAGGAUAAUGUUCGAGGUAAAAAAGAGGAAGUAGAAAUGUUUGAUGUUUCACGAAAUCUCGUAGACGCUUAUACAAUCG